rnacentral:rRNA from 1 species
GGCCUACCAUGGUGGUAACGGGUAACGGGGUGUUAGGGCACGACACCGGAGAGGGAGCCUGAGAAACGGCUACCACAUCCAAGGAUGGCAGCAGGCGCGCAAAUUACCCAAUCCCGACACGGGGAGGUAGUGACAAUAAAUAACAAUACGGGGUUCUUUCGGAUCUCGUAAUUGGAAUGAGUACAAUUUAAAUCUCUUAACGAGGAACAAUUGGAGGGCAAGUCUGGUGCCAGCAGCCGCGGUAAUUCCAGCUCCAAUAGCGUAUAUUAAAGUUGUUGCAGUUAAAAAGCUCGUAGUUGAAUUUCGGGGUCAGUAGGUUGGUCGUGCCAAUGGUAUGUACUGGCUUCACUGAUUCCUCCCUCUUGUAGAACCGUAAUGCCAUUAAGUUGGUGUUGCGGGGACACAGGACUGUUACUUUGAAAAAAUUAGAGUGUUUAAAGCAGGCUAACGCUUGAAUACAUUAGCAUGGAAUAAUGAAAUAGGACGAUCGAUCCUAUUUUGUUGGUUUCUAGGAUUGACGUAAUGAUUAAUAGGGAUAGUUGGGGGCAUUAGUAUUCAAUUGUCAGAGGUGAAAUUCUUGGAUUUAUUGAAGACUAACUACUGCGAAAGCAUUUGCCAAGGAUGUUUUCAUUAAUCAAGAACGAAAGUUAGGGGAUCGAAGACGAUCAGAUACCGUCGUAGUCUUAACCAUAAACUAUGCCGACUAGGGAUCGGAUGAUGUUAAUUUUUUAAUGACUCAUUCGGCGCCUUACG